UUGAAAUUACAAAAAGCCCUUCUCCAGCUCAACUCACGUUCCGCGUUCAACCAAGCUACCAAAGCCACCUGGGAAACUGGUUUCCCCGCCGACCCCCUGCCACUGGGGGCCCAACUGCCCACACGCGGGCCACCCCGGCUCGCCCACCGCCUCCUGGCGGUCUGUGAAGCCUCUGUGCAGCGGCGAGGACUUUGGAUCUGGAUGGCCGGCAACUGCGGCUGCGAACGCCUCCUCGGGCUCCGGCUGCUCCCCCUGUGGCAGGAGAGAACGCGCCAAGCGUUUCCCGAGCUGUUCCCUGACAGAGAGAGGAUGGCAGCACCCCCAGCUCUUCUCCUCCUCCAGCAGCCACCUACCCACAAGUCUCACCUAGAAGGAGGAAGCUGCACGUGCUGUGUGGGAUAACAAUGGAGAGAAACUGAGCUGUGUGGAACCCAUUUUGGUGAAAACUUUGUUGUGCAUUGAACUGCACUACUGAAUUAUAUGGAAGACUACAGUUCCAUCUUAGAUGAUGAAGACAAGGGUCACACCCUAAGGAAUGUAGAGCUGGAUACAGCCUAGGAUCCUAAGAACUUCAGCCAACUGAGCCAACACAACUCUGGACUGCUUCCUCCAGACUUGCAAAUGAAAGAGAAAAUAAAUUCUCUCUUGAUUAAGCCAAUGCUAUUUGGAGGGUAUUUGCUAUUCUCAAUUGAACCUAAUCUUAUCUGUUAUAUUUAUUUUGCUCACCAGCUCUUAAUAUAAUACCUAGUACAUGUUAGGUUUCCAAUAUUUUUUUCAUGAAUGAAUGAAUGAAUAUAUGAAUCCCCCCACCUACAUCCAAAACCACAUACAUAAAAUUGACCAUAUGCCCCAGUAACUUCUGAUUAGUCUUUAGAUGACCCAGAUUUUCUCAUUGCCUACCUUGUUGUUUCCUGAGAGACAGGCAAACCCUCUCAGAAGCUACUUUAACUCAUUCUUUUUAACUAGACUAUUAACUUUUUUGAUAUUUUAUUUGAACUGUAAUAAUAAAAAAUUAGUUGCCCUUCCUUACUGUCUUUAUAGACUACAUGUUGUUGAUAUGUUUUCAUAUUAUUACAAACAGAAAACAGAAUUGACAGAAAACUUAAUAAAUACCUUUGCCAACUGUGCACUGAGGGACAUAUGUUGUGGUUAUGUUCUUUUUACCCAGAUUUCAGGGACAGAAACAGAACAGAAACAAUGCCAAUAUUAUAAAAAUUUUCCCAAACACAUACUCUUCAGGAAAACACUACUACUAAUAAUUAUUAGGGAUAAGAACAUUGUCAAGAAGAUGUCUAGCAUAUAGUUUGUUCUGCAUAUAAUGAAGUCUAAGAAGUAAACACAUUAAAAACAUUUUUAAAAUGUUUCCAGAUUAUUUCAGUACAUUCAUGGCAAUGCCUUUUUAUUAAACAUUUUAAGAUGUAGCAAAGUACAUUAGACUCAAAAACCUAAGCUUUAAUAUCUUGAAAUAGCUUGAACUGCUCAGAUAUAAAUGUUUUAAAAUAGAGAUGGCAUUUUUCUAGAGAGGAAAAGAAGAAAAGGUAAUUUAGAUUAGCAAUAAUUUACAUGCUGUUCUCAUCUCUGGGCAGCUUGCUGUGUUUUGUCCUCUAAUGUCCAUCACUUAUUUUCAUAAUGAUUACUCAAAAAUAAACCUGAGUGGCAUUUUUUUCUCUUCUUUUUAUAUGAGAAUUGUCCUCUAUGAAAUUAUGCUUAAUUUAGGGAUGGAGAUGAUUUGUUUUACAAACAGUUUAAUAAAAGGAAAGAAAGAGAAAGGACCCAUACUAAAACAAGAUUCUAAUUAUCUAUGAGUUAAUAUUUAGAAGUGCAAAAUGAUUUUUCAAAGUCUUUCUUUUUUUCUGCUCAGGACCCUCCUAGAAACUAUAUUGGGUAAUUCUCUUUUCAGACCUGAAGAAUUUGUCAUCAGAAAGAACUUUCUCUUUUCCAGUCCUUCACACAUCAAGGUUAAUGGUGUAGAUUUCCACGAGUAAGUGCAAACAGUGCAAUUAUGAGCAGAAUUAGGAGGAAUAGGCUGAAGGACACCCCUGAUGGAGAUGGGUGAGAGGAAAGGAAUCAGCGUUUCAUGGAAUGAAGGAUCUUCAUCAAGCAAUUAGAAUGCAUUUCAAAAUUGUUCCAAGAUAUUUAUGUGCCCAAAUUGUAACCUCAUGUGUAGUAUUCAGGAAAAAAACUCACAGAAUUAGAAUUAUUAUGACCUGAAACGACCUCAUUUUUGUAUUUUUAUUUAUGGAUGAAGAAGUAAAGGCAGAACCAGCUAUGUAAUUUGCAGGAGGCGGUGCACUAUGAAAAUGUUGGGCCCCUUGCUCAAAAAUCAUUAUGAAUUUCAAGAUGAUGACAGCAGAGCAUUAAAUCAGUUACAGGGUACCUCUGUACACAGGGCCUAUGUGACCACACAGGUUGCACUUCCAUGAAGCCAGUUCAAAGAGGAGAGACUGGUUAAAUUAUUUGCCCAAGGUGUAAAAGUGAUUAGGUGCAAAGCUAACCUCCUGAUUCAUUGUUUACUUAUUUUCUUUUUUCUCCUUCAUCUCUGCAUUCUAUUAUUUCUCCAUAUUCACUUCAAACUUAGCUUAGAAGAGUACAUAUUUAUUCAUUCAUUCUUUAAUUAAUGUUUCUUGAAUAAUGACUUUGUGGCAUGCAGUGUGUUAGGAAUUGACACAUAAGACACAUUCCUUAAGUACUAUUUAAAUCCUGGGUGCAGAGAAAAAACUAUGGGGGGAAAAACACUACUUCUAUAGAGAUUGAGGAGAAGGUAGAACUCUGACAUACUACCACUGUGAGUUAAAUACGUAUUAAUUUUCUGGAAGACAAUGUGGUGUAUAAGACAAACAUCUUAAAAUGAGUGAUACUUUGACCAGAAACAAGACUUCUUGGAAUUUAUCAUAAGGGAAUAAUAAGAAGUGUGGGCAAAGUCAUAUGUAGAGUUAUUCUUCACAGUGAUUUUUUUUUCUCAUAAAUAUCCAAGAAUGUGGGUUUUGUUAGGCACUCUUUAGUUUACCUAUGCUGUUACGUAUAUGUAAUCAUUAAAAAUGUGGUUUUAUCA